rnacentral:rRNA from 1 species
ACGCUCGACACCUACGGGAGACAGCAGUGGGGAAUAUUGCACAAUGGGGGAAACCCUGAUGCAGCAACGCCGCGUGAAGGAAGACGGUUUUCGGAUUGUAAACUUCUGUUCUUAGUGAAGAUAGUGACGGUAGCUAAGGAGCAAGCCACGGCUAACUACGUGCCUGCAGCCGCGGUAAUCUGAGCGGGCUGGCAAGGC